UCCAUUUCCAUCCACAUCGGCCUAGAAAAGCAGUGAAGUUCAUUAUUCUCAGUUGGACCAAUGAAUGCAUCAAUUUGAAGUGAAAUCCAGAAUGCCAGAGAAAACCAAAGAAAAAUGUAAUCGAUAGAGGGAGAGAGAUUGAAAGCAAAAUUUCAAAUGCUAAGAUGAAUGGACACAAUACAAUAAGACACUACAAGGGCUGCAAUAGAUAAGCAAAUAUGGACCAUAGCUAAGAACCAUGAUGGCUCCUCAAUUCCUCAGGGUUUGACACGUUUUUUACGAAGUUAAGCAUGCAAACUUAUAUUUGUACAAUGUUGAUCAUAAAAAGGGCAGCAUAAUGUAAAAUGCAACAACUUCAUCCAUCAAUCAUCAAUAUCAUAGAUCUAAUGAAGAUUUCCACACCAGUUCUUAAUCCUACUGACUUCCUUUUUCUAAAUCCUGAUCAGAAAAUUUGGGCUUCAGUUUGGGACAGGUUGAAUUUUUAGACUUAGCAGCAAUUGAAAAGGAAUGAAUUUUCUAGAAGGAUGACUGUCAACAUCUUCUCUGUACCGCUGUAGAAUGGGUAUCUUUAAAGUACCAU
rnacentral:misc_RNA from 1 species